GUUUCGAGCCAUAUUCAGAUGAUAUACAAUCACGCGCAAACCGCCUCCCCGUCCGAUCCACUUCUGCGGCGGGGAUGAGCCAUCGGGGAUGAGCCGGCCGGUGUGGCUUAUGAGAGAGCCGAUCCGUCCUGCUUUAGGGGGGUGUUCACAGACGGUGCAGUACUGAGCAACACAGUCGAGCCGGGGCGCUUUAUGCGUGCACGCGGCUGAGUUCUUCAGAGCCGCCCCGGUCCCCAAAGCCCGACGCGCAGCCUUCGCAGAAGCAGUGACCGCCGAACGCGGCGCCUCAACCGGUGUGGCUGAUUUUCUGAGCCGUGGUGGCAUAUAAUGGAGCCAAGCUGUCCUGCUUCUAGGGGGUGAGUUUUGAAGCAAACUUUGACGCGCACGAGUCGGAGUCUCCUCACUCAUCUUUGCAAAGGCGACCCAAUCAAUCGACCCGAUCAAUGAUGACCUCAUGCCAACCUGACAUCCGCUAUUAAGCUGUAGCAGGUUUCCUACGAGAGGAAGGGCAAACGGGCCUGGUGGAAGACCCCCCCCCUUCCCGCCGCUCUUCUUUUUGUCGACGAGCAACCAGAGUAGAGCGAGCAGGGCGCCGACUAACAAGAUCGCUACACAAACC